UGUGGGACCCUCGGCUAGGAUUUGUUUGGCUAAAAUUUCACUUGGCCUUGACCUUGUGUACAUGGGUUGUUGCCUAUUGGUAGAAAUAGAUGAAUGAUGAAUUUAGAUAAGGAAAGAAGAUUUGACAUUUAUGAUUGACUAGUCCCACUGACUUUUGAUAUUUGAUUUUCGUUGGCUGAUAUGUGAUAUAGUGUCGGUUGGGUUGCAUUAUAUUUUGAGGUGUGUUGUGCACUAAGUGAGGAUAUAAAGAAAGCAAUAUUUGAGAACAGAGAUAAAAAUUAGAGGAAAGACAGUAAGGUUCGAGAGUUCACAUAGGGCCGAAAAUUCGAUGCUCAGAUGAUCUAGUGAUGAUUAUUUCUUUUACAGUUUUCAGGUACCAUGUAUUGCUAGUUUCUAGUUGCGGGCAUAAGUGGAAGAGUUGGUGUUGAGGAUUUAUUUAAAUUAUUUUAGAGAUGUUAUAUUUUUAUUUGAGGAAAUUGAAAUUGUAUCAAUAAAAUGAUAUUUCUUUUUGA